rnacentral:rRNA from 1 species
AGGAUGAACGCUGGCGGCGUGCUUAACACAUGCAAGUCGAACGGUGAAGCCAAGCUUGCUUGGUGGAUCAGUGGCGAACGGGUGAGUAACACGUGAGCAACCUGCCCUGGACUCUGGGAUAAGCGCUGGAAACGGCGUCUAAUACUGGAUAUGAGACGUGAUCGCAUGGUCGUGUUUGGAAAGAUUUUUCGGUCUGGGAUGGGCUCGCGGCCUAUCAGCUUGUUGGUGAGGUAAUGGCUCACCAAGGCGUCGACGGGUAGCCGGCCUGAGAGGGUGACCGGCCACACUGGGACUGAGACACGGCCCAGACUCCUACGGGAGGCAGCAGUGGGGAAUAUUGCACAAUGGGCGGAAGCCUGAUGCAGCAACGCCGCGUGAGGGAUGACGGCCUUCGGGUUGUAAACCUCUUUUAGCAGGGAAGAAGCGAAAGUGACGGUACCUGCAGAAAAAGCGCCGGCUAACUACGUGCCAGCAGCCGCGGUAAUACGUAGGGCGCAAGCGUUAUCCGGAAUUAUUGGGCGUAAAGAGCUCGUAGGCGGUUUGUCGCGUCUGCUGUGAAAUCCCGAGGCUCAACCUCGGGUCUGCAGUGGGUACGGGCAGACUAGAGUGCGGUAGGGGAGAUUGGAAUUCCUGGUGUAGCGGUGGAAUGCGCAGAUAUCAGGAGGAACACCGAUGGCGAAGGCAGAUCUCUGGGCCGUAACUGACGCUGAGGAGCGAAAGGGUGGGGAGCAAACAGGCUUAGAUACCCUGGUAGUCCACCCCGUAAACGUUGGGAACU